UUUUCAGUAUGAAUUCUAUGAUCGUAUAUACAUUUCUGUGUUUUAACUUUUAAUAGAAAAGUGCUUCUCUGCAUUUUUACUAAACAUAAGCGCCUAAAUACUUUCAUUUAACUCCAGUCAUAUAAUUAAACACUAGUUCAAAUUAGGGAUGUAAGCGACUACUUGAGUAGUCAAGUACCUGAUAAGCCUAGGCUUAUUGGGUAGUUGAAAGACUCUUCACUCCCUCCCCACCCUUGCUACCUCUGUGUCAGAAGCAGCAACAUGGAGGGGUGGGUAAGCAGGAGCUGGUACUGGGAGGGAGGGAGGUGAAUGACUGGUUGACACACUAGUCGCUCCCCUCCUCCACAUUUCCCCCUCCCCAGCUGCCUCUAUCAAAAAGAGGCAGCAAGGGGGUAGGGAGGAGAGAGAAGUGGGUGCUCCAAAGUGGCAGUGCUAGGGAUGUUGCUACACUUCAAAGACAGGCGCCAUUAUUGACUAAUCGAAUGGCCGGUGCAAAUUGCAUCAGCUAUUAGAUUAGAUGAUUAAUCUAAAUUUAAUAUCCCUACGGGGGGGUGGGGGGACCAACUUAGGUGACGGGAGGCAGAGCCAAUGCGAGCUAACCCUGCUGAGGCUCUGCAUUUUAAAUGUAAUAGGAGCCGGGCUCCCUGUUCUCAACAGAUUGUAUCGAUUACACAAUUAGUGAAUUAUCCGCUUAACAUCCUUAGUUCAAAUGCUGUAAUUCACAGUGAAACUUGUUUUUGAAAUGGAAAGCGCCAAGCUGGGACAUAUAUUGGGUUGAGGUAGUGUAAUUUUGCAAAUCAGAAUGUGAAAACGAAUUGAAAUGCUAUGUUAUAUCAUAUUUCUUAAUUGUGAGUAUCAGUCUUCUAUUAAAUGAGAUUAUUGAUGAUAUAUUUAAAAAAUAAAGGAUUCCAUUUUGCUAGAGUGCUACCUCCUGUUGUAUUCAGUGUCACCUGUGUGUAUUCUGUUUAUCUUGAAAUAAAAUAGACACUUUAGAAUUUUGCACACCAAGAAUGGAUAUGUCUUGUAGACAAUGCUGAAAGUGACCCUUUUGGUAUGGCUUAAGGUUUGCCUAUUUCAGGCCAAAAUGGUCCAUGACAAUUAAGAGAGAUUUUUGGCAAAUAACAUUAGUGUCUUCAAUAAAAGCAAAGAUUUGAGAAAUAUAAAAUAUCAUUUAAGAUGUUUUACAGCAUAAGGGGAACAAAGGCCAUUCAAUGUUCAGUGGUAAGAUCCUGCAAAAAAAUUUCCACUCAGAUAUUUUUAUGCAUGAUACUGGGUACAGAUGCUAGCAUCUGCCCAGGAUUAUUUUUCUUACUCAUAUCCUUUUACAAUGAGUAAAUGUCCCCACAGCAGAAGAGAUGAACUUUCCUUAUGCUUCUAAAAUUAUACAAGAACCAUAAUUAACAAUUUUUUUGAAAUUGUAUUUUAAAACAAUCGUGAUGCUAUUUGGCACCUUUACAAACAAA